UAAUAUCUUCUGAUCAUUUAUACAUAAAUCACGUUCAACAAUUUGAUUAUCAAGAAAAACUAUCAGAAAAUAUAAAUCAACAACCUUACUUAAUCCCAAAUUCAAGACAUAUAAUUCAAAGGUCUAUUCAGUUUGUUUGAACAAAAUCAAACAGCAAUCCAUCUUCAUCCCUAGCUCUCCCCUCCAGUUAAAUCUGCAUGCAUUCCUGCAGUUAAGAGAAAGAAUUAAUGUAAAAACCAAAUAACUGUUGAUUCCGGCCCUAAUACUACCUAUUUUCUUUAACCCUCUCACGAAAUCCAAGUAAAACCAAUUUUACAACUAUCUCAAGUAAAUAUAUAUAAGAGAAUUUCACCCCUGAAACUAAAGCAUUACAAGAAAAUAGAAUAAGAGGCUCUGCCAAAAGAGUUCACAAAGUUUAAUUGAAUUUGUUCCAUCACAGAGCAUACUAGUCUGGCUUCAUAUACGAGUAUAUCAGUUAAAAACAAGUUGAUUUGUUGUUAGUUAUGAAAUGAUGGAGAAAACAUUGAUGAUUUAGAAUUUAGGAAUGAAAUUAGCAUUCUAAUUCAUACCUUUUAGAUUAGUCAUUCCUAUUUUCGAUAGAUAGGGACAGUUGAAAACUGAAUCCGACUUCUCCAAUAAUUUUCAUAUGAAGUUACUUCAUACAUACAUGCUCAAGUUUCCUCAAGGCCCUUGGCCUUACAGAUUCAGUUGUAACUGUCAGUCUCUCCUGCUUCAUUCCAAUCUCAGUUCACUCUUCAAAUCACUUGAGCGUCAUUCCAAUUUCAAUUCACUCUUUUAAAUCACUGAAUCAGCUUUUGGGUAAUAAGCUGAAUUACCAGCCACACUAAAUUUAAACUAUCUACACAUGCAUACAAUGAUACAUUUGCAUAAGAAGCAUUUGUAACAUUUUAAACUCAGGCUACUGAAAUUCCUUGACUUGGCCGUUAUAUAGCCUGCAUGACAUGGAGCAACAUUUAUGAGGGAUAAAACCAAAUUAAAUGUGGGAAAUGAUGAAUCAUUCCAAAGGAAUCUGAGACUUUUCAUAAUCCAGUCUAGACUCUAGAGGCAUGCCUGAGAACUUAGGGGGUUUGUUUUCCCUUUGGAUGUGCUUUAUAGUGUAAAGCCAGGUUUACUUUCUUCAAUUCAUAAACAGUUUGUUUUUUACUAAUAUAUGCAUUCUAACCAAUUAUAAGAGUGAUCGCACUUCAUGUAGGAAGUAUUUGCUCAGGGGAGAGGAAACUAAUAGUUCAUUUUAUCAAAAGCAAUUUGCUAAGGUGCCAUAAAAUGUUGCAACAAUGUAGAUGCUACAAAUGAUGAGUUGCACCAUUAAUUUUUUCCAAGAACCAGCUCAGGUAGUGGUUACACUAGAAGCAAAU
rnacentral:lncRNA from 1 species